rnacentral:rRNA from 1 species
CCUACGGGUGGCUGCAGUGGGGAAUCUUGCGCAAUGGGGGCAACCCUGACGCAGCCAUACCGCGUGAGUGAUGAAGGUCUUCGGAUUGUAAAGCUCUUUCGGCGGGGACGACGAUGACGGUACCCGCAAAAGAAGUCACGGCUAACUUCGUGCCAGCAGCCGCGGUAAUACGAAGGUGGCGAAUGUUGCUCGGAUUCACUGGGCGUAAAGCGUCUGUAGGUGGCUUGUUAAGUUAGAGGUGAAAGCCCCGCGCUCAACGUGGGAACUGCCUUUAA